UUAUAUAUAUAAUAUAUAUAUAAAAUAUAUAUAAUAUAUUUUCUUAUAUAUUCUCACAUCAACAUCAAAGUCUUUGUGCCUAUUUACAAACAAGAAUGAAAAAAAAAAAAACAAGAAUGACAUACUAAUCUGUUUCUUGCGGGGGCGGGGGGAGGGCCACCUACAUGAAGAAACAGAAAACAGACCCACCGUCCUCCUCAUGCUCAUUAUGGCAGCUCUCACUGCCACUGGCCUUCACCAAACAGCCCUCUCUUGCCUUCUGAAAAGUAUGGUGCAAAGCCUCUUUAUUUCUUAAAGUACAUUGACACUUAUUUAGUUUUGAGAUUUUUAAAGAAUUUUUCAAAAUCCCUUAUGGUGACUGGAAAUACCCUGGGGUGUUGCAAAUUCAGAGUUGGGGAUUAUUGUGGAAAAGCUAAAGCUAUGCCUGUGUUCUCAACAACCGGUGGAAAACUGCUGCUCUGGUUGUUUUGUCUGUCGAAUAGCUGAUGGUGGUUAUUUUUGCAUCAGAUAGAAUAAGUGGAUCAGACAGAGAGCACGCACACGACAGAUGGUGCUUGUAUUUACAUGACAUCAAAAUAUAUUUGUCUUAAAGAAAACAUCCUGGAACAACAGAAUUGAGCCUGACUCGUUUUAUGUUUUUCCCUGAUUUAACUGUUUGGCUCAGCCCCAGGCAGGCAGCUUAGAAUGGUAGGGAGAGAGUGGGCUUUCGAGUGGACAGAGCUGGAUUGGAAUCUUGGUUCUCUUCUUUGUGUUCUAGGUUGGAAGACGAGAUCAAUGGCAUAAUGCAAAAGAUAAGAAGUGUGACGGUGGCCGUGACCACCAUAAUUACAGAUGUGGGAAGUUGACUUCCUAAGAUCCCAGACACCAGUGGAGAACAGAGUGGCCUGGAGGCCGAGGCAAUUCCUAGCUAGCUAUCUGAGUCUUGGCCUUCAUUCCAGAGAAUCUGGGAGUCCAGGGAAUCAGCCUGGUCAGCAGAAACUCCACGCAGAUUCAGCAGACCAUUGUAGGGUCCUGGACCCCAGCUUCUGGUCUCAGGAAGGUGAAGGUGAAGAACCAGCACUUGCCCAGUUUUUUUCUGAAGAUUUCAGGAGACAAGGAUGAUAGAGUCUCCCUCAAGAAGCUUCCUCAUGUGAGACUCAGAAGGUUACUUUCUGUUGGGCAAGGGCUUUCCCAGCAGUUAGAAGAUGAUGGCAGUCAAGUGGACAAGGAGGAGACAAGAAGACUAAAAAAAAGUUGUGUACAACAUAUGUUUAUUAAAGUAUCUGGGAUUUAUGUGGAGCUUAAAAGAGGGUGUGGGCAUCAGCAGGAUGUGUACUGCCUUUGAGUUGCCUUUGUUUAGAAUAACAAUGAGAGCAAACAAUUAUUUUGCAAUCAUAUACCAAUUGUAUACCAAGUGCUGUUUUACAUGCAUUAUUUAAUGCUCACAGCAGCCCUACGAGACACUUUACAGAAAAGGAACUAAGGCACAGAGAAUUUAAGGAGGUUACUGAAGGUCACAGAGUUGGCAAGUGGAUUAAACCAGUCUGACUGCAUUUUGCUCACCAAUUACAUCUGCUGUGAGUCAUCCAAGUUGGCCUCACUGCUAGAGAACAUCUUUCUGUAGUAGAGUAUUGAAGGGGUGAAUAAUGGCUUCCGAGAGGGGAUGGUAGAUAAAAUUGAAUAAGAAAGUUAAAAAGAAAGAGUCCAUAAAAAUGAAAGGAAAUCAACAUUUUGGUGGUGACAUAUGACACCAUGGAGAAAGGAGAAUUUCUGCAUCAUUAGAGCUACACAAGUAUGAGAUUCUUCACACAGAGGGUGAAUCUGUGUUUCUCGAGUCACAUGGGGUGGGGGUGAUAGGAAUGCAGAUAAUCCCCCAGGAAAGAGGAGUAUCUUGCAGGUUGGGAGAAGAAGGAAGGCAAUGACAUAGGCAACCAAGUAUGGUUCAGUCAGAGGUGGGAUGCCAUCUGGGAUCAUAAACUUAAAACAUGGCAAAAUAGACUACAAGACUGAAAACACUCAGUUUUGCUGAUUUGCAUACCUUCUUCAAAAAUAUGGAGUUAGCAUCCAUUGUGUGUCAGGACUAGGGAGACAAAAGUAAAUGAGAUAGCAACUUUGCCUUCAAGGAGCUCAAGGUUGAAAGGACAUAAAAGCAAAUAUUGCAGCAGAAGGAAACCUGUGAUGGAUACUAAAAACAGUAAUAGAAAUGUCACAGUUUAGACCUGUAAGAGAGGGUCAGCCCUAUAUGGAGUAGUGUUUUAAGUCUCAGAACAAGUAAUAUUACAAAUGAAGAGAAGCACUAAGUAGAAGUAGGGAAGAAGGGAGAGAUUUUGGGAAGAGAAAAGGAGAAAUGGGGCUUCUAAAUGAUUUUCAGUUUUGGAUACGAAGUUUAAAGUCUUGAGUAGAGAGAGAAUUUUCUUCUUCCCUGUUAGUCUGUUAAAAGACAAGUUCAUAGUCAGUGAAGAAUAGAUUAUGGAUGAUAUUCAAGAGAAGGAUUUGUCUUCCUAACCUACCUAAGAACUCAUGGAUGAUGACCAAGGACACAUUCCAAGGCUGUAUUUGAUUAAAGACCCACAAGCUUGCUAUAGAGCAUUUUAGCCAGAGUAGAUAGAAGAGAGAAACAUAAGCUUAGGAAGUUGGGCACUUGGAAGGAUGAUGUGUAUGAUUUGUGAAGAAAAAGCAUCAUGGUUCACCUGCAGGAGUAUAUGAUAGGGAAUUGGAUGUGGGAUUUUAACUCAGGUUUUGUAAUGAAUAAAUUACGUGACCUUAGAUGACUGACUUCCCCC
rnacentral:lncRNA from 12 species